rnacentral:rRNA from 1 species
CGCUGGCGGCGUGCCUAACACAUGCAAGUCGAACGCGGUUACCCCGCAAGGGGUAACUGAGUGGCGAACGGGUGAGUAACACGUGGGUGACCUGCCUUCGAGUGGGGGAUAACAUCCCGAAAGGGGUGCUAAUACCGCAUGAGAUCCUGCCUUUGAAGAGGUGGAGAUUAAAGCUGGGGAUCGUAAGACCUGGCGCUUGAAGAGGGGCCCGCGUCCGAUUAGCUAGUUGGUGGGGUAACGGCCUACCAAGGCGACGAUCGGUAGCCGGCCUGAGAGGGCGGACGGCCACACUGGGACUGAGACACGGCCCAGACUCCUACGGGAGGCAGCAGUGGGGAAUUGUUCGCAAUGGGCGAAAGCCUGACGACGCAACGCCGCGUGGAGGACGAAGAUUUUCGGAUCGUAAACUCCUUUCGAUCGGGACGAACGACUGGUGACCCAACACGUCAUCAGAGUGACGGUACCGAGAGAAGAAGCCCCGGCUAACUCCGUGCCAGCAGCCGCGGUAAUACGGGGGGGGCAAGCGUUGUUCGGAAUUACUGGGCGUAAAGGGCGCGUAGGCGGCCUGCUAAGUCACACGUGAAAUCCCUCGGCUCAACCGGGGAACUGCGUGUGAUAC